GCCCGGGUGGCGGAACGGUAGACGCGGAGGACUCAAAAUCCUUUGUCCGAAAGGGCGUGCGGGUUCGAUUCCCGCCCCGGGCA
rnacentral:tRNA from 1 species